rnacentral:rRNA from 1 species
GAUGAACGCUGGCGGCGUGCCUAACACAUGCAAGUCGAACGGAGUCCACCCUCUAAGACCUUCGGGUCAAAGGGGGGAAGACUGAGUAGCGGACGGGUGACUAACCCGUGGCCAACCUGGCUCAUCGAGGAGGUGAGCAUAAAGACGUAUCUGCUAAUCCCCCAUAAGCACGCGCUGCCGCAUGGCCGGGGGUGAAAAGAGGAUCGCGAUGAGAUGGACCCGCGUCUGAUUAGCCGGCUGGCAGGGUAAGAGCCUGCCAGAGCGACGAUCAGUAGCCGAGCGGAGAGGCGGACCGGCUAGAUUGGGACUGAGACACGGCCCAAACUCCGACGGGAGGGAGCGGUAGGGUAUAUAGCACAAGGGGGGGAACCCUGAUGAAGCGACGCCGGGUAAGUGAAGCAGUAUUUCGGUAUGUAAAGCUCUAUGAGAAGAAAAGAUAAUGACAGUACCUGAAUAAGAAGCCCCGGCUAACUACGUG